GACGAACGCUGGCGGCGUGCCUAAUACAUGCAAGUAGAACGCUGAAGAGAGGAGCUUGCUCUUCUUGGAUGAGUUGCGAACGGGUGAGUAACGCGUAGGUAACCUGCCUUGUAGCGGGGGAUAACUAUUGGAAACGAUAGCUAAUACCGCAUAACAAUGGAUGACACAUGUCAUUUAUUUGAAAGGGGCAAUUGCUCCACUACAAGAUGGACCUGCGUUGUAUUAGCUAGUAGGUGAGGUAACGGCUCACCUAGGCGACGAUACAUAGCCGACCUGAGAGGGUGAUCGGCCACACUGGGACUGAGACACGGCCCAGACUCCUACGGGAGGCAGCAGUAGGGAAUCUUCGGCAAUGGGGGCAACCCUGACCGAGCAACGCCGCGUGAGUGAAGAAGGUUUUCGGAUCGUAAAGCUCUGUUGUAAGUCAAGAACGAGUGUGAGAGUGGAAAGUUCACACUGUGACGGUAGCUUACCAGAAAGGGACGGCUAACUACGUGCCAGCAGCCGCGGUAAUACGUAGGUCCCGAGCGUUGUCCGGAUUUAUUGGGCGUAAAGCGAGCGCAGGCGGUUUGAUAAGUCUGAAGUAAAAGGCUGUGGCUCAACCAUAGUUCGCUUUGGAAACUGUCAAACUUGAGUGCAGAAGGGGAGAGUGGAAUUCCAUGUGUAGCGGUGAAAUGCGUAGAUAUAUGGAGGAACACCGGUGGCGAAAGCGGCUCUCUGGUCUGUAACUGACGCUGAGGCUCGAAAGCGUGGGGAGCGAACAGGAUUAGAUACCCUGGUAGUCCACGCCGUAAACGAUGAGUGCUAGGUGUUGGAUCCUUUCCGGGAUUCAGUGCCGCAGCUAACGCAUUAAGCACUCCGCCUGGGGAGUACGACCGCAAGGUUGAAACUCAAAGGAAUUGACGGGGGCCCGCACAAGCGGUGGAGCAUGUGGUUUAAUUCGAAGCAACGCGAAGAACCUUACCAGGUCUUGACAUCCCGAUGCUAUUUCUAGAGAUAGAAAGUUACUUCGGUACAUCGGUGACAGGUGGUGCAUGGUUGUCGUCAGCUCGUGUCGUGAGAUGUUGGGUUAAGUCCCGCAACGAGCGCAACCCCUAUUGUUAGUUGCCAUCAUUCAGUUGGGCACUCUAGCGAGACUGCCGGUAAUAAACCGGAGGAAGGUGGGGAUGACGUCAAAUCAUCAUGCCCCUUAUGACCCGGGCUACACACGUGCUACAAUGGUUGGUACAACGAGUUGCGAGUCGGUGACGGCAAGCUAAUCUCUUAAAGCCAAUCUCAGUUCGGAUUGUAGGCUGCAACUCGCCUACAUGAAGUCGGAAUCGCUAGUAAUCGCGGAUCAGCACGCCGCGGUGAAUACGUUCCCGGGCCU
rnacentral:rRNA from 1 species